rnacentral:pre_miRNA from 1 species
UGGACUUCAUCCUCAGGGAUUCGUUGUUCUGCUGUAGAACUCUAGAAGAUGAAGGCCAUG